rnacentral:lncRNA from 1 species
GGGAAAAAGAUCACCUUCCAUAACUUUUCUUACAGUAUAUUAUUAUACAUGUGCUACUUUAUUAUUGUUGUCAAUCUCUUGUGCUUAAUUUAUAAAUUAGGCUUUAUCAUAGUAUGUAUGUAUUGAAAAAACAUAGUAUAUAUAGGGUUUGGUACUAUUCAUGGUUUCAGGUAUGCACUCAGGGUCUUGAAAUGUAUCCCCCAUGAAUAAGGGGGUACUACUGUGUCUGUUCAUUCAUUAGAUGAGUUUAUCAAUGAACAGAUGUGUGUGUUCCACUAUGUUGCCUCAGAAACAAAUGAAUGGGGUUAGGUUGUUGAUCUGGUGAUUUUAAGGUGGAGGAAGGAAGAAGUUUAGAGUGAUAUACUCUAUGUAAUGAAAGUAUAGAAUAGCAAUUGAAGGAGAGAGAACUCGAUUAGGGGGUCCAUCAUUUCUAGGAGUUUAUGAUCUAUGGUCUCUCUUCCUCGCUUACACAGGAAGGCUGGAAAGAGGGGAGUGCUGGCCUUUUCUUCAAUUAUGAAGUGAUGAGGUCACAGCCAGACACAGAGAAGAGGUGAUGGGAAGAUGAAGGCAGAAACUGGAGUGAUGUAGCCACAAGCCAAGGAAUCUGAGGAAUGCCAACAGACACCAGAAGCUUGGAGGCAAGGAAGUAUUCUCCCCUAGAGUCUCCAGAGGGAAUGCAGCCUGCUUAUGCCUGGAUUUCAGACUUCUAGCCGUUAGAACUAUGAUAGAACACGUUUAUUAUAUUUUACGCCAUUAAGUGUAUGGUGAUUUGUUAUAGCAGGCGUCUGGAAACUACACACAUGCCCGGUACAAUGCUUUCCCCGUAGUAGGCACUUAAUACAUACUUCAUAUUUAUGAUGAAAACUGCCUUGCUUCUUCGUAGAAACUUGAUUAAGCCUCCUUACAAAAUCUAAUCAAAUACAUAUUCUUAUACCUCCAUAUUAUUUCCCUCAAUACUAUGAUGUAUCCCUAAACUAUAAGACAUAUUAG